AUUGAACGCUGGCGGCAUGCCUUACACAUGCAAGUCGAACGGCAGCACGGGGCAACCUGGUGGCGAGUGGCGAACGGGUGAGUAAUGCAUCGGAACGUGCCAUUGAGUGGGGGAUAACGUAGCGAAAGUUGCGCUAAUACCGCAUAUUCUGUGAGCAGGAAAGCAGGGGACCGCAAGGCCUUGCGCUCUUUGAGCGGCCGAUGUCAGAUUAGCUAGUUGGUGAGGUAACGGCUUACCAAGGCGACGAUCGUGUAGGCGGGUCUGAGAGGAUGAUCCGCCACACUGGAACUGAGACACGGUCCAGACUCCUACGGGAGGCAGCAGUGGGGAAUUUUGGACAAUGGGCGCAAGCCUGAUCCAGCCAUGCCGCGUGAGUGAAGAAGGCCUGGUGUAAG
rnacentral:rRNA from 1 species